GAUGUAAAUUUCCAGCUAACCAAACUUAUAUCAGUUAAUUGGAAAGUAGGAGAUCCAGAAUCAGGAGUAGAAUAUUGUCAUUGGGCUAUAGGUUCAAGGCACGGCGGUGUUGAUAUACAGCCAUUUACUCCUGUACCAGAUAAACAAUCAUUUGUUCAAGUUGAACUCAGUGUUAAUCAAAUACAGAACUCUAAACAAGUUUAUUCUACUGUAAGAUGUUAUAAUAAAGCUGGUUUACCAACUACAGCUACUACCGAUGGCGUUCUGGUUAUAAUCAAAAUGGCUGCCAUAGCAGACGGUCAGAUCGCCAUUGAUGAAGAUGGAGUAUCCGCAUAUUCGGUGAGGAUGAUUGUUAUCCAUUGACUGAUAGUUUACGAUUAAAAUGGGAUUUAGAAAAUACCAGAAUUGAUACCAAGUCUAUACAGGUAUCGGUGUAUGGUCCAGGUUAUAAUUUAGAUAAAGAAGUUCGAGUUACAGAGAUUAGUUAUAACCAGGCUAAAUUAAGAAGUUUAUCACUACAACCUAACUCUAACUAUAAUGUUAGUGUAUCUACCAUUAGUGUAUUAGGAAAGCAAGACAAUUCUAUAUCAACAGUAAUAUCAUCUGUAGCACAACCACCUAUUUUACAAGCGGGUUCAAAAUUACUAAUUGCCAGAUCAUUUGAUGGGAAAUCAAUGGAAAUGUCAUGGAGAGAUUUAUUUACGUCCCCAUGGAAGAACCUGUAUUAUGAAGUCAGUUUAGGAACUUCGCUAGGAGGAGCGGACGUUAUACAAUGGCAAGAGACAAAAGUUGCUUCCAUUACCAUUGAAAUGCCUGAUAUAUCGAAGUUACCAAGAAUAUAUUUAACAAUAACAGCUGUGGACCCCUGCGGUCUUUUCCUACAUUAUAAUCAUACCAUUGUACUUUAACAAACUGAAAUUAUUAUUUAAAAUUAUCUUUGUAGAUAGUUUCUACAAUAUUACC